rnacentral:rRNA from 1 species
CCUCGGGAGGCAGCAGUGGGGAAUCUUGGGCAAUGGGGGCAACCCUGAUCCAGCCAUGCCGCGUGAGUGAAGAAGGCCCUAGGGUCGUAAAACUCUUUCGCCUGUGAUGAUAAUGACAGUAGCAGGUAAAGAAACCCCGGCUAACUCCGUGCCAGCAGCCGCGGUAAUACGGAGGGGGUUAGCGUUGUUCGGAAUUACUGGGCGUAAAGCGCACGUAGGCGGAUUAGACAGUUAGAGGUGAAAUCCAGGGGCUCAACCCCGGAACUGCCUUUAAAACUACUAGUCUAGAGUUCGAGAGAGGUGAGUGGAAUUCCGAGUGUAGAGGUGAAAUUCGUAGAUAUUCGGAGGAACACCAGUGGCGAAGGCGGCUCACUGGCUCGAUACUGACGCUGAGGUGCGAAAGUGUGGGGAGCAAACAGGAUUAGAUACCCUGGUAGUCCACACCGUAAACGAUGAAUGCCAGUCGUCGGGUAGUAUACUAUUCGGUGACACACCUAACGGAUUAAGCAUUCCGCCUGGGGAGUACGGUCGCAAGAUUAAAACUCAAAGGAAUUGACGG